AGCCCCGAGGUGUGUAACAUACUAGAUUGCAAAUCUUGAGUGGCAGUGUAGUAGCUGCCGGGGCAG
rnacentral:tRNA from 1 species